rnacentral:lncRNA from 1 species
GACUUUCUUAUGUUGUCCAGGUUAGUCGACAGGUGUCUCAAUGUAACUGUCCGAAGAGGUUCCAAGUGGAGCAGAUCAGUGCUAACCGCUAUAGGGUGGGUUACAUCUGUCCUUUUGUUUUUAAAUAGUUGAAUUGGAUCCACAGAAACUGAUGGUUAUAGCAUGAAUCCUUUUUUCCUGCUAUAGUUCGGAGAUUCCCAACAGUUGCGGAUGGUUCGGAUCCUGCGGAGUACCUUGAUGGUGCGGGUCGGAGGAGGCUGGACAGCACUAGAUGAAUUCCUGGUCAAAAAUGACCCUUGUAGAGGUUCGUAGAGAAUUAAAGUAGAACCGCUUAGAUUGACAGGUAAAUGAUCUAAAUCAUCUGUGACACAAGUGACUUCAUGAGAAGAGGCACCAUUAUUGUAAUUUAUUUCCCUUACAGUGAAAGGACGGACAAACGUGAAGAUUAAGGAGAAGUACUUAACUCCAGAAUCAUAUGACCACUCCCGAAGGGGAGGCUCGUCUAAAACCCUGACAGUCAGCAGGUCCAACUCAAGCCUGAGUCUCUAUAGCAGUGCUUCGGCACCUAGCAGCCCCCUAACACGCAAGGCAUUGCUUCGGAGGAGUCUUUCAGGAGACCGCUGCAUCCGUCCCAGGAGCUCUAUUGCUGCUCUGGGAUCAGAUUUACAGUUCUCCCCCACCGGGGAUGAUGAACUGCCUUCACCAUCAGGUGUGUAAAUUAACUCUUUACAAAACUACAUUGAACCUGCAAUUAUAGUUAAAUGAGAUUAAAUGAGUUUAAUGUAAACCUAUACACUGACUUGGCUUCUGCUUUUCAUCUUCUAAGAGGAGGCUGUAAGACUACCCACAUGAUAACGAUAUCGUCAAGAUGAGCAACAUGUCUACACCACAAGGUUGAGUUCCAUUACAGCCUUGGGUCCCAGAGACAGUAACAGGGAGCAUGAUACACAGUAAGAGAGAUCAACUGGCCAAGGGCUCAGUCCCAACAAACAAACUGCCACUUGGGAAACUCCAAGGCUUGCCAAAGUGAUAGAGAAGGGUCGGAUACUGUAUUGGACAUUGUGUUUAAGAGCCUUGGAUCAGUCAGUUAGGUGUCUGGAUGUGACCUAUGACCUGAAUCUGGACAUAUCUCACUACUCUCAUCUGUAGUAAAAAUGUUGUCAUUUUGAUCACCUAUAAAUAUGCAAUUUCGAUAUCAGUUUCAACAAAUUUAUAUGAGGAUUGAGACAUUGAAACAUUCAGCAUGGAUAUGAAUUGCAUGGCGGCUCUCACUAUAAUGCUCACUAUUUAGCUCCAACAUCUGUUUCACCCUGUACACUUAUAAGGAUGUCAUGGCAAGGUGCCACCAAGCAACAGUGUGUCAGUGUCUUGGAAAAUACCAAAACACAAAGAAAAUUAGGUUUCAGUAACAACGGUAUUAUUGUAUUCUAACCUACAACCCCAUUUCCAAAAAAGAUGGGACGCUGUGUAAAUUUUUUAUAAAAACAUAAUGCAAUGAUGUGCAAAUCAUUUAUCCCUAUAUUUAAUUUAAAAUAGUACAUUGCCAACAUAUCAAAUGUUUUUGGAAAAAUACAUGCUAUUUUGAAUUUGAUGCCAGCAACACGUUUCAAAAAAGUUGGGACAGGGGCAUGUUUACCACUGUGUUGCAUCACCUCUUCUUUUAACGAUACUCUGUAAGCGUUCGGGAACUGAGGAGACCAAAUGCUGUAGGUUUGAAAGUAUUCCCAUUUUUGAUUAAUAUAGGAUUUCAGCUGCUCAACAUUUUGUGGUCUCCUG